rnacentral:rRNA from 1 species
GUGAACGCUGGCGGUAGGCCUAACACAUGCAAGUCGAACGGCAGCACAGUAAGAGCUUGCUCUUACGGGUGGCGAGUGGCGGACGGGUGAGGAAUACAUCGGAAUCUACUUUUUCGUGGGGGAUAACGUAGGGAAACUUACGCUAAUACCGCAUACGACCUACGGGUGAAAGCAGGGGAUCUUCGGACCUUGCGCGAUUGAAUGAGCCGAUGUCGGAUUAGCUAGUUGGCGGGGUAAAGGCCCACCAAGGCGACGAUCCGUAGCUGGUCUGAGAGGAUGAUCAGCCACACUGGAACUGACACACGGUCCAGACUCCUACGGGAGGCAGCAGUGGGGAAUAUUGGACAAUGGGCGCAAGCCUGAUCCAGCCAUACCGCGUGGGUGAAGAAGGCCUUCGGGUUGUAAAGCCCUUUUGUUGGGAAAGAAAAGCAGCAGGUUAAUACCCCGCUGUUCUGACGGUACCCAAAGAAUAAGCACCGGCUAACUUCGUG